rnacentral:rRNA from 1 species
UUACCCUACGGGGCGCAGCAGUAGGGAAUCUUCCACAAUGGACGAAAGUCUGAUGGAGCAACGCCGCGUGAGUGAAGAAGGGUUUCGGCUCGUAAAACUCUGUUGGUAGUGAAGAAAGAUAGAGGUAGUAACUGGCCUUUAUUUGACGGUAAUUACUUAGAAAGUCACGGCUAAUUACGUGCCAGCAGCCGCGGUAAUACGUAGGUGGCAAGCGUUGUCCGGAUUUAUCGGGCGUAAAAC